CACUGCAGUGGGAUCGCCUCUGGGUGCUU
rnacentral:piRNA from 1 species